ACAGCACUACCAGCUCUGACCAAUCAGAUUGAAGCACCAUUUUAGCUCCUGCUAUUAGAAGCACAGUCGACGACUUCCCUACCAGAGAGCCGAGAGGGGGCUGAGCGCUCAGGCAGCCAUCUUUCCUGCAGUGGAACUCAAUGGCCAAAAUGGGUUUCCUUUGUUCCUAAAGGGGAUCUUAUACUUCAUUUCAUCAUCUCUUGUUGGACUACAUAAUAUAUUACAAUGUUUCUGUUUGCAGGAUCUGAGAAGAUGGAAGAAAAUGGUUGGAUGUUAUCCCUUUGACAUUUUUAAAAGCUUUUUUCUCUCUUCCUGGAAUCCAUUUUUUUGUCCUAACUAGGUCAUGGCACACCCCUAUAGCAAAAUUUUUCUCUCUUAAGAGACUUGUAGUGAAUAAACUGUUUGGUUUUUUUUUGUUGUUACAUUUGCAUUGGUGUAUAAAACACAGUAAAUGUUUUGAAAGGUAUUGUGCAGUACAUGGCCAAGUAAGAGUAUAGCUAAGUAAGUUGUUUUUAGUGAUUACUUUUCAAAUAUAGAAAGCUACAUUAAAUGUGUAUUGUGAAAGUGCCAGUCUUAUGUGGUAGGCUAUGCUAGAAAAUCAUAAUUUGAUAUGAUGGGAUACAUUAGAAUGGCUGGCAUUUCAAAUGUCCUAGUCAGUUGCAUGCAUUUGUUUAAAAAUAUCCAUUUAGGGCUUAGCGAUAUUGCUUCUCCUAUUUCAGCAGGCCAGGAGGAAACAAUUGGCCCUGGCAGAAAAUGCUGAAUCACUGGUGUGACUGGUUAAUGUGGUUGUAGAUAGCCUUCCCUUAACCCCCUUUCAAUGUUUUUCACAUAACUACAUUUGUUGCCAGUCACAUUUCACACCUGUCAGGUUAUAUUAUAACAGCUGCAUAUGGUAUCCUUGAACCUGAUGAAAUAUGUUUUAAAGAAAUGUAUUCAUUUUGUAAUAAAUCUUGACAUGUAUCUUUUUCUUCCAGAGACAUUUCCUCUAAUCGCAUGUAAGUAAAGCUGGGUGACCUUGAACCAAGGGCAUUUUCUCUUUUAAGAACUCCUGCUUCAUAACAACAUCUUUCUUUCUGCUUAGUUGUUUUUGUUAAGGGUGCACAUGACACUCUAACAUAAAAUUGUACAUUAAAAAAAAACUCUGAUAAAAUAUUUACCUUAACAUUUUGAUGAAAUAUAUUCAUCAGGCCUACACGCAGAAGGAAAAGGAACGUUUUCAUUGCCAUCUUCGGAUCCUCUAUAACAUUUUAUGAAGGGGUGGGGGAUGCAACUCCUAAAAAGAAAGAAAACAAGCGCUGUUUAACUAUUUCUUGAAUUCAUUUGUUAUUUAAAGUACGUAAGAUCUCACUGACCAACGAGUUAGAAUGCUGAGUAUCUUCAAGCAGUUUCAGUGAACAAUAUGCAAACCAUCUCCCUCUUCCUGGAGACAGGACAGCCGUAAAAUGCGAACGCUCUUCAUUUAGAAGAAGGAAAACUGUUCAGCAUCUGGCACGGGAAUCUUUACAUAUCUAAGGUAACAGUUUAUGGAUUCCCCAACUGACUAUUUUAGUUUUUAAAGGUUAAACUAAAGCAUCAUUUAUGUGAGGUUCAAAUCCAUAUGUGGCUUAACUAUUUUAGUUAUUUUAGGUUACCUUGCUUUUAAAAGCACAUUACAAAUCAGUCUGGAAAAUAUAAAAGUAAUUAGGAAGUAAAGCACCGUUUUUCAAACUUACAGGCAAUUAAAAUAACUGUAAUCCUCGUGGGGAACGAGUAGUUUAUGUAAAUAAAUAAUUUUAAAUAACUGAGGGGUAAAAGUUCAUCUUCUAGAAAUGUCUCUGUCGCCCUAUGUCCAAAACGACCUUUGAUAUGAACUGUCGUUAAAUGGCUUCUCUGCUGCUCUCGUUUCAAAAUGGCUUCUUUACACACACGCACGCACGCACACACACAAAGGAGAUCAUUAUGUGCUCGGAAAUGGUGCUGCGCCAUUGCUGGGCGAGGUAUUAGACGUUCGCAAACAAGAGCUGAUUCACCCCCUAUGUCCAGACUUUUUUCACUCAGAGCAGAAGUCAAUGAAGACGGAGAUGGCUUCGUGUGUAAUAUAAAAAAAACGUUACAGGAGAAGAAAUCAUAGCAAGGCUGGCUGAAUCCUCUUGCAUAUGCUAGUUGUGGGGGGCUGGCUGAUCUAAAAUCAUUCUGGCGAGCGGUAGUGAGCUGGGGCUGGCUGCGUGCCAUGCGUUGGAGACGACUGCACCCACGUAGCCAUAUAAGAUGAUUCGGUGCAGUAAUUCAAGGCUUUCGCCAUUUACAGAAGAUUGUUAUCUGACAAGCAAGAAAAUCCAUUUUGUAGGAAAAAGGAGGCAGAUGGAUGAGACUUGUGCAUGAGGGGGUUACGUAAAACAGCUCUCAGGUGAUCUCCCUUGGUUACUGUUACUAGACAGCUAGACAGUGUGUUGUGAACAGCGUUGUGUUCAUACCAGCUGCUUGUUUGUCUUUUUCUUUUGCGCUCAACAGAACUCAUUCAUUGUGAUUAGGGAGGGCCGGUGUGUUCAGUGCUGCCUGCAGUAAAUAUGUGAAACAUUUGCUAAACUGACCUUGGUUUCUCAGCUCUACAGCUUAAGCAAGGGUAAGGGUAUUUCACAAAGGCCAUAAUGAUCAGAAUCAUCAUUUAUUCAUUGUUGCAUUUUUCAGUGCAGACCUGGGUGCAUAAUAGCUGCCAGUGAAUAUUAGCCGACUGCAUGGGACAAAAGGUCAUGGUCCAAAACCGUACUGCAAUGACUAUCACAAAGGAAAGUUAGAAACGUGUCAUAUUGUAAUUAUGGUACCCAACAGAAGGUGUACGUGUUGUUGGGUUAAGACCUGUGCCAGUACCACACAGACACGUUUACCUGCCUUUUCCUCAUUUUCCACCCACUCCAUGCAGCACAGGGACUCGUCUCUGCCUCCCUCUGCUUUUGAAGCGGGUCGUAAGGCCGCUUGAGUGAAGUUGUAGUCUAGUGAUCUACAGUAUGAGCGAGUUUGUCUUAUAGCUCAGGCGGCAUAUUUGACCGGAAUAGCUUUUAACUCAUCCAUCAGAAGGGGGUUGGAAUCGUUGACGGCCAUGCCGUAUUUUUUGUCUUAUUUUUCUGUAGUAGAGCAGGCAAACAUGCUGCGCGAGUCGAUCAGGAAAAGCCCUGUGCCAUAGGCAUGCAGUCAGGAAAAAGGAAACUGGAUCUGUCUGGUCAAGAAACAAGAUUGAAUUGCUGCAGUGUUAAGUCACAACCUUUUGAGUCGGUAAUCGUGAGUAAAUAGCUGAAUCCCCUUACAUAAUAAACUUACAGUAUUUUUUUAUACAACCACUUUUAUUUACGCUCCAUUAAUAUUACGUAUCGUAGGGUUUUGAUUGCUAUACAGUGCAGGAAAAUAACUUGCAUUCAAAUGGUUCCUUAGAAUUAAAGCAUCAUUGUAAAGAUAUACCGCUGAAACUAGAGCACAAUGCCAUUUAAUUUGGAUGGAAUAGUCAAAAAAAAUUGAGUGAUUGCGAAAUAGGUUGUGUCCUAAGAAUGUCCUUUAUUUACAGAUUCAGGGAUAUUACCAGGAUUUAUCUCGGUUAAUUGAAAACGACAUUGAUGUGUCACAUAGUCUGUAUUAUAAAACGACACGUCGUUGGGUUUUUAGAACAGCCUGUUGAUUAUUAUGUUAUAUGAUUUGUAGGUUGUCGAUGUAUACAACACAGGGAGAGUAGCAGGCUAUUUGCACUAGUGACAGGCAUAAUUGAAAGAUUGAGAGAAACAUUUUUGCAGAAGUAGUUCUGCACGUUUUUUCUAAAGUUGUAUUGGUUUUGUUUAAUUGUUUUUUUUGCGUCGUCCUUCUUGUCAAACCGAGGUUCACUUGGGCAAGAUGUGUGAGUGGUUUGCUGCUGGCGAUUAAGGCCCUGUUACCAUUCAGCCACAGCAAGGCGGACAGCGGCCAUUUUAGUCUCCGUUGGUGUAGAUGGAAUACUGAGGAUAGAUCCAUUUUUACAUCUAAAUAAUUUGACAACGACCACAGGGGCACAGUAAAUGUACAUGGGCUGUCUGGGAAAUUAUUUUGCUUUUGUUGUAGAUCUCAGCAUGGUUCAAGUAAGAUCCUGGACUGGCAUUUGUAUGAAAUCUAUUUAUAUUUAAGCCACUUGAGAACGUCAGCAGAAGGUAGGCUUUACGGAUUGAAAUGCAGUUUAAGGUAAUUGUAAUCGUGAACAACUUACAUACACAUCUAUGUAUCUGCUACACAAUGGCAUGCAAACUGUAGGUAAUGCCUGCUGCGCUGUAGUUUCUCUCUUUAGCAGGCACGCGACCGUUUUAAGAGUGUCACCAGUUAAUUUGUUCUGCGCAACAGCAUUCUUUUGAUCAUUGGCAGGUCAUUAGGGACUUAGCGAUGAAUUCUUAGCUAUGAUGGUCGAAGUUGUUAGUAGUCUAAAGUAUAAGAUGCUCUGAUCAUAAUGAACAUUUUUUUAUAGCAAAAUUGUCACAGUGAAAUUAUAUGGUGCAUAUUCACUAUAGAAAAGACUAGAACUGCUGAUUGGAACUGGUCAAAGGUAAAACCCUUAACAUAGCCUACAUUAAGGAUCCUCAAAUAUGCCACGUCGAAUUACACACCGGAUUGUUUUGUUGGUUUAAUUAUUUUAUUAUUACACAUUCAACAUUAUUACUUGUUAAUCUUGACCUGUAGUGACGCAGGGGGGAAAUACCUUUCCGCUGUUAGUUGAUCUUGCAAAAUGACUCCUCUAGAUGGCAUUGAAAGCUUGAAUGGAUCAUGAAGAAAAUGGGUCAUGUCUUAGCAAGGAUAAAAUAAUGACAUUUCAUAUAUUGCAUAGUCCAGUUUUGUUUCGUUUUCGUUCGAUUUUUGGCUUGGUGUUAAGAGCCAGAGGCAGCAGACAAAAGUUGUAUCAUCUGUCUUUUUAAUGGAAAUUAUUUAUUUUGUAACUGAUGGAUUAAACACGCUGUUUUGCAUGAAGACGGUGUUUGUAGGGUGGGUUAUCGAUUCAGUGUUUCUUUUUCUCUGUGAAGCCUGAUGGUAUGUCUUAAUAAAUAUAAAAUAUUAAGAAAA